UCCAGUACUCCCCAAGCCUGCCAGGAGCGCGCACUCAGCGGCUUUACGGGUCCCAGCGUCCCAGCCGCGGCCCCCGACCCGCACCACGACCACCUCUUCUUCCUCCUUUUCUCUGGCCACCUCUCGUCCUCUCCUUCAGCAACUGCUAGGCACCGGCAGCAGCAGCCCCCAACCCCAAUUCGACCACAUCCCCAACUCUCAGGGCUCACUCUUGGGACGCGCGUCUUCGCCCCAUCCUUUCUUCCUUCCUUCCCUCGCGCCCGCCCUCCCUCUCCAGGUCUCCCUCCGGGUCCCGAUUGUCUCCGUCCCCUGCUCCGUCGGCUCGCGCCCGCGCCCGGCCCAUUCUUUCCCUCGCAUUUCCUGAGUCGCGGGCCGCCGCUGUGUCGCCGCGCCGCCGGAGCCCAAGCCCCAGCCGCCGCUGCUCCGGCUUCAGCCCCCGCAGCCCGCGGCCCCCGCCCGAGGGAGCCCCGGCGCCCGGGGAAGGCAAAAGUGGGCGAGUGAGCCGUCACCCAGCCCCGCGCCCCUGCCCUGCCCCGCGAGGAAGGACCGGGAAAAUGAACAACGGCGGCAAAGCGGAGAAGGAGAACACCCCGAAUGAGGCCAACCUUCAGGAGGAAGAGGUUCGGACCCUAUUUGUCAGCGGUCUCCCUCUCGAUAUCAAACCUCGGGAGCUCUAUCUGCUUUUCAGACCAUUUAAGGGCUAUGAGGGCUCUCUUAUAAAGCUUACAUCUAAGCAGCCUGUAGGUUUUGUCAGCUUUGACAGUCGCUCUGAAGCAGAAGCUGCAAAGAAUGCUUUGAAUGGCAUCCGCUUUGAUCCUGAAAUUCCGCAAACACUACGACUAGAGUUUGCUAAGGCAAACACGAAGAUGGCCAAGAACAAACUAGUAGGGACUCCAAACCCCAGUACUCCUCUGCCCAACACUGUACCUCAGUUCAUUGCCAGAGAGCCAUAUGCGCUGGCUCCCUCCCUCAGAGGCUACUUCUCAGGGCUGGAAGUCCCGUCAGUUCUGCUGAAUGCUCUGUCCCAGGUGUGUGAUGGCGGCUGCAAUCUGUCUUGUGGGUAUUAAUGCGAUCUUCACUGGUGGCGACUGUACUCCAGCUGUUGUGCAAAACUGGAGCUUGCUGGCUUGAAAAAAACCUUGCCCAGUUUUGAUCCCUUCAAGACUUUGCCACAGCCUCUAUCACACAUCUGUUUUUCUCGAAGAAAAAAAAUAUAUAAUAAAAAAUGUUUUACUCUUUUACACUGUAUAAUUCUAAGAAAUAGUGUUAUUUGUGAAUGCAUGGUGUGACGUAAUUUCUGUACAGUUUGGAGAUAUUUUCAAAUGAAACAUAAAAGAAGUCAACAAUAAAACUAAGAAAGUGAGUAUUUUUAUACCAAACAUUUUAAUUCUGACAGGAUGGAUUCUUACACUGGGUUGGAUCACAAAUUUUAUCCUAGACUUAUCGAAUGCUUGUAAUUAAAAAUAUCUAUUUUUUUCUUUAAAAUAAGCUGCAUGUUUGAGGCAUGUUUCGAAAUAGUUACCAACAUUUCCAGAAUUGUAUUGUGAAUGUAUAGAUACUGUCUGCCUGGCUGAAGUCCAGGGUUCAUUAGUAAUGUGGUGUUAGAACUGUUCUCUUCAGCCCUGGUCUGUGAUCCCAGUUCCCAUAUGAUAUCCCUACAAGACAAUCAAAGCUUCCAGGAGCUACUUUUAUGGCAUAUUCACAACUGGGCAAAGAAAACUAGGGGAGAAAUUCUUUAGACUAGAGUGUGCCCUUAGAAAGAUCUGGCAGCUCCAUCUGUGACUGUAUGAACUGUGUGUUUCAAGUUUCAUGUUUAUCUUUUAUGAGAGCAUGCUCCCCUGUGUGACUAACUUGCUGUAUCACUCACUUCCACAGCCAUGCCACUGCUCCUGUGGGACUGUAGUAGCCCUCAUGGKGAAGGAGCACCUUGGCUUCGGGGCUGGCUUUGCCCAACUACAAUGGGCAAACCCACAUCUGCCAAGUGAUUUUACCCAACUUUGGCUGAACUAAGCUAGUGUUCAAACAGACCGCCUGUCACAGGUUCUGGAAUCCCAGGUUGCUUGUUGUGAGGUUCCCGACUUCUCUGGCACAGGGGGAACCACGGUAACCAAUGGCCAAGAGAAAGACAGUUGGGCUUGUUUCAAAAUGGUCAAAAGCUAAACAGUCUUUGUGUUUUCAGGUGACACAUUCCAGAAUCUGUGACAGCUCAGCCUCUCCCCCUCCUCCUUGUAUAAAAGCCAUGUGUAAAACUAUAUUGACCUAAGAGUUUCUAACUGCUAAUAUAGCUAGAAAUGAUCACAGUCUUUCCUACUGAUCUGCUCACUGUGUUGAAAAAUUCAAUAUUUUAAUGAUUAUAUGCUUGAUUUGGGGGUUUUGUUUGUUGUAUUAUUUUUCAUUAGAAAUAAAAAUAACAUUUUUAAUGGUUAUCACAACAAAGCAAAGCCAGGAGUGAGGGGCUCUUUCUUACCAACAAAAAGAAGAAAGAGGGCAGGCAGUAGCCUAGAGGCUCCUGAUAGAUCUGCUUGGGUGUUUAGGGAGGGUCUACGCCCUCAGCACCACUUAGCUCUUGGUGAGACUCCUGUAUUUGAUUUUAAGGAAAACAGAGCCACUUCACUAUUAUGCUUUUUUAAACUGUUUGUUUAAAGGUACUUUUCUAUUGUUA